GAUGAACGCUGGCGGCGUGCCUCAAACAUGCAAGUCGAGCGGGGCUAUGUAAUAUCGCAAGGUAGAACAUAGCCUAGCGGCGAACGGGUGAGUAACACGUGGGUAACCUGCCUGGAAGACAGGGAUAACGAUUCGAAAGGGUCGCUAAUACCUGAUAAUAUCCUUUCAUCGCAUGGUGAUAGGAAGAAAGGGGAAACCCGCUUUCAGAUGGGCCCGCGUCCCAUCAGCUAGUUGGUAAGGUAAAGGCUUACCAAGGCGACGACGGGUAGCCGGUCUGAGAGGAUGUACGGCCACACUGGGACUGAGAUACGGCCCAGACUCCUACGGGAGGCAGCAGUUGGGAAUCUUAGGCAAUGGACGAAAGUCUGACCUAGCGACGCCGCGUGAGGGAAGAAGGCCUUCGGUUGUAAACCUCUGUCAUGGGGAAGAAGUAAGUGACGGUACCCAACGAGGAAGCCCUGCUAACUACGUG
rnacentral:rRNA from 1 species